UAAAAUAGCCCCAGAGCCAACCCAUCUCUGUUGCAAUAGAGUGGGAUAAUUUUUAAGUAGAGGUGAUAAACCUAUCGAACUUAGAGAUAGCUGGUUUUUUAAGAAAAGAUUUUUAGUUCAGCCCUGAGUCUUCUAUUACACAAGAAUUAAACUAAACUCAGGAGUUAUUCAAAUAAGGCACAGCUUAUUUGAAACAGGAUACAACCUAGAAAAAAGGGUAAGACAAAUUUAAUCUCUGACAAGUGGGCCUGAAAGCAGCCACCUUUUAAAAAGCGUCAAAGCUUAACAUUAAUAAUUUUCUUAAUAUCUAAAUUAAUUUCUAACCCUUAUUUACUAUUAAAAAACUCCAUAAAAUUAUGGAAGUUAUUAUGCUAGAACAAGUAACAAGAAAAAGACUUUCUCCAAAAUGUAAGCUUAAGCCACAACAGACAAACUGAUGGCAAUUAACGUUUAUGAGUCACUUGUAGUAACACCAACAGGAAAACUCUACAUGAGUUCUAACGUCA
rnacentral:rRNA from 1 species